rnacentral:snRNA from 1 species
GGAUGUGAGGGUGAUCUGGCUGCGAUAUCUGUCACCCCACUGACCGCCUGGGUUGAUUUGGCUGAUCUGGCUGGCUAGGUGGGUGUCCCCUUCCUCCCUUACGGCUCCAUGUGUGUCCUUCCCGUAGCUGUGUGCUGAGUCGAAGAGGAUGACCUUCCCCGAAUAGAGAUGGACUGGUCUUCAGAAGAGGGUGAACAAGUAGCUGCGCUCCCCUACUAGAACUUCCAAACAAGCUCUCAAGAUGUGAUAUUUCCAAUUCAUUUAAAUAUGGUACGAUCUUUAUUU